rnacentral:tRNA from 1 species
GGGCCCGUAGUAUAACGGUAACACGUAUCCAUGGCAUGGAUAAGUUCGGGGUUCGAUUCCCCGCGGGUCCA